GCAGCCGUGGCCUACUGGUUAGGGCUUCAGGCUUGGAACCAAAAGGUUGCCGGUUCGAUCCCCGACCAGUAGGA
rnacentral:tRNA from 1 species